CAGGCCUAACACAUGCAAGUCGAGCGGUAACAGGGAUAGCUUGCUAUCUGCUGACGAGCGGCGGACGGGUGCGUAACGCGUAGGAAUUUGCCCGAUAGUGGGGGAUAGCCCGGAGAAAUUCGGAUUAAUACCGCAUACCUUCUAAGGAAGAAAGCAGGGGAUCUUCGGACCUUGCGCUAUCGGAUGAGCCUGCGUCGGAUUAGCUAGUUGGUAGGGUAAAUGCCUACCAAGGCGACGAUCCGUAGCUGGUCUGAGAGGAUGAUCAGCCACACUGGGACUGAGACACGGCCCAGACUCCUACGGGAGGCAGCAGUGGGGAAUAUUGCACAAUGGGCGCAAGCCUGAUGCAGCCAUGCCGCGUGUGUGAAGAAGGCCCUAGGGUUGUAAAGCACUUUCGGCGAGGAGGAAGGGUAUCUUGCUAAUAUCAAGGUACAUUGACGUUACUCGCAGAAGAAGCACCGGCUAACUCCGUGCCAGCAGCCGCGGUAAUACGGAGAGUGCAAGCGUUAAUCGGAAUUACUGGGCGUAAAGCGUGCGUAGGCGGUUAAAUAAGUUGGAUGUGAAAGCCCUGGGCUCAACCUAGGAACUGCACCCAAAACUGUUUAACUAGAGUACGAGAGAGGAGUGUGGAAUUUCCUGUGUAGCGGUGGAAUGCGUAGAUAUAGGAAGGAACACCAGUGGCGAAGGCGGCACUCUGGCUCGAUACUGACGCUGAGGUACGAAAGCAUGGGUAGCAAACAGGAUUAGAUA
rnacentral:rRNA from 1 species